AAAAUCCUAUUCAAGUUCUCUCGUCUUUGGUAUUCUACACAGCCGCUGCCUCCGUGAAGCAAGCAGAUCGGAGGCGGCGUCCGAUUGUCUUCCCCUGCUGCUAUCUCCACCGUAGACAGCGUUCGCCUUCAUUGUCUUCUCUGCCUUCACUGUUUUCUCCUCCAUCUCCAUGGCUACCGGUCGUUACUCCCUUAUUUUCACACUGUUGUUUUCAUUUGCUUUGUUUUACUAGUUUAAUUUCGUUUGCAGUUUAUGUGUUUUCCUCUCGUUGUUUUGACGAG